GCAAGUACUAGUUUAUUGCAGCACUCUUUCCUCAAGACAUGACUCAUACAAGUGUACCCACGUUACAGAAUCUCUUGGAUGUUGACAAACGCAAACAGCUAUUCUGUACAAUUCCAUGUUCUAAGACACUGUUUACAGGCACAGCACCCACAUAUUCCAUACAUUUUAUGGCAUGGUUAACAUUAACACAUAUGUCAGACUAACAAGACAAUGGUCAAAAAGCAUCCACAUCCAAUAAAUGACAUUACAUUCACACUAACAUUAUGUACUGCAGCCCACCUCAGCAGCAGAGCAGAUCUCAGCCCACCUGAAGUAAAUGCAAGUCUCAGACUGGCCAGGAAGGAGCGCAAAUGGCCUCCGCUGGCCCCGGGGCGUUGGUUACGGGGUUGGGUUAGCCCUGCGGUACAAACAAACAAAGCAAAGCUAACCCAACCCCGUAAGCAAGGCAAAGCUAAAGCCAAUUUGGAUGAGAUCAAUUGACUGCACCUGCCAAAAUCAGCGCAUCUCUCAGAAUGGCCACAAAGGGGCGCGAGUCUCAGACUGGCCGGGAAGGAGCGCAAAUGGCCUCCGCUGGCCCCGGGCGUUGGUUACGGGUGGUUACGGGGUUGGGUUAGCCCUGCGGUACAAACAAACAAAGCAAAGCUAACCCAACCCCGUAAGCAAGGCAAAGCUAAAGCCAAUUUGGCUGAGAUCAAUUGAUUGCAAAGCUAAAGCCAAUUUGGCUGAGAUCAAUUGACUGCACCUGCCAAAAUCAGCGCAACUCUCAGAAUGGCCACAAAGGGGCGCGAGUCUCAGACUGGCCGGGAAGGAGCGCAAAUGGCCUCCGCUGGCCUCGGGCGUUGGUUACGGG
rnacentral:lncRNA from 7 species